GGGGGGCGGAGCCCGUAGUGACUGCGCACACUCAAGGGUCCCGCGCGUGACGCACUCCCCCCACCCAUGACCGUAGAAAUCCCCCCCAACGUCAUUGGCUGCGGAAAGUCUCGUCUGUGCGCCUGCGUGAACCAACAGCCGGCAAGGCGAGGGCGCCCCCUUCCGGCUUGGGGCCGCAUAGCGCUCCGUCGGGCCCGGCCUGGGCCGUAGAUUUCGAAUUGCCUGAGGAAGCUACCUCACCGCUGCCGGGAAGCGGCCCCGACGCCCGCCGCCCGCGAAGGAAGGACCGCGGACGGCUCUCAGUUUCUAAAGGCCCGGAAGGUUGAUUCCGGAAACCCCUCUCGGGAGGAAAGCAGGCCACCUCUGUCAGGGAACUGACAGCCAACAGCCGACUUGGUCAGGGCUGACUCAAGCGGAAACAGUCUUCCGAUCCUGCUCCCCCGUCUCCCCCUUGACACCAUCUUAUUCCUUGGGUGGUGAAGAAAACCGCCCAUCAUAAACCAACAAACAUGAAAA